UCCUUAGUUUGAGGAAGGUCAGUUGAAGU
rnacentral:piRNA from 1 species